rnacentral:rRNA from 1 species
UACGGAGGGUGCAAGCGUUAUCCGGAUUUACUGGGCUUAAAGGGUGCGUAGGCGGGCAAGUAAGUCAGUGGUGAAAUCUUCGAGCUUAACUCGGAAACUGCCAUUGAUACUAUUUAUCUUGAAUACUUUGGAGGUAAGCGGAAUAUAUCAUGUAGCGGUGAAAUGCUUAGAUAUGACAUAGAACACCAAUUGCGAAGGCAGCUUACUAGACAGUUAUUGACACUGAGGCACGAAAGCGUGGGGAGCAAACGGG